GUGGGGAAUAUUGGACAAUGGGCGAAAGCCUGAUCCAGCCAUGCCGCGUGUGUGAAGAAGGUCUUCGGAUUGUAAAGCACUUUAAGUUGGGAGGAAGGGUAGUAACCUAAUACGUUGCUACUUUGACGUUACCGACAGAAUAAGCACCGGCUAACUUCGUGCCAGCAGCCGCGGUAAUACGAAGGGUGCAAGCGUUAAUCGGAAUUACUGGGCGUAAAGCGCGCGUAGGUGGGUUUGUAAGUUGGAGGUGAAAUCCCCGGGCUCAACCUGGGAACUGCCUCCAAAACUGCAUGACUAGAGUACGGUAGAGGGUAGUGGAAUUUCCUGUGUAGCGGUGAAAUGCGUAGAUAUAGGAAGGAACACCAGUGGCGAAGGCGACUACCUGGACUGAUACUGACACUGAGGUGCGAAAGCGUGGGGAGCAAACAGGAUUAGAAACCCUGGUAGUCC
rnacentral:rRNA from 1 species